GCCGGGGUGGCGGAAUUGGCAGACGCAAGGGACUUAAAAUCCCUCGGGGUGAAAGCCCUGUACGGGUUCGAUUCCCGUCCCCGGCA
rnacentral:tRNA from 1 species